rnacentral:sRNA from 1 species
AUAUCUCUCUGUACGGGAAGGAUGAGAAGCUUCGACUAAGGUUCGAUUCGAGCGAAAGCGAGAAAGCGUUGCCGCAGGCAACGACCCGAAGGGCGAAGCGCGCAGCGCUGAGUAAUUCUUCCCCCACCACCA